rnacentral:rRNA from 1 species
GUAGGUGGCAAGCGUUGUCCGGAAUUAUUGGGCGUAAAGCGCGCGCAGGCGGUUCUUUAAGUCUGAUGUGAAAGCCCACGGCUCAACCGUGGAGGGUCAUUGGAAACUGGAGAACUUGAGUACAGAAGAGGAAAGCGGAAUUCCACGUGUAGCGGUGAAAUGCGUAGAGAUGUGGAGGAACACCAGUGGCGAAGGCGGCUUUCUGGUCUGUAACUGACGCUGAGGCGCGAAAGCGUGGGGAGCAAACAGGGAUUAGAUACCUGGUAGUCCACGCCGUAAACGAUGAGUGCUAAGUGUUAGGGGGUUUCCGCCCCCUUAGUGCUGCAGCUAACGCAUUAAGCACUCCGCCUGGGGAGUACGGCCGCAAGGCUG